UCCUCGAUAGUAUAGUGGUGAGUAUACAAGCCUGUCAAGCUACGUACAGAUCGCUUGGGACCCGGGUUCAAUUCCCGGUCGGGGAG